GGACCCGCACAAGCGGUGGAUGAUGUGGAUUAAUUCGAUGCAACGCGAAAAACCUUACCUACCCUUGACAUGCCAGGGAUCCUGCUGAGAAGUGGGAGUGCUCGAAAGAGAACCUGGACACAGGUGCUGCAUGGCUGUCGUCAGCUCGUGUCGUGAGAUGUUGGGUUAAGUCCCGCAACGAGCGCAACCCUUGUCGUUAAUUGCCAUCAUUCAGUUGGGCACUUUAACGAGACUGCCGGUGACAAACCGGAGGAAGGUGGGGAUGACGUCAAGUCCUCAUGGCCCUUAUGGGUAGGGCUUCACACGUCAUACAAUGGUCGGUACAGAGGGUUGCCAAGCCGCGAGGUGGAGCCAAUCCCAGAAAGCCGAUCGUAGUCCGGAUCGCAGUCUGCAACUCGACUGCGUGAAGUCGGAAUCGCUAGUAAUCGUGGAUCAGCAUGCCACGGUGAAUACGUUCCCGGGUCUUGUACACACCGCCCGUCACACCAUGGGAGUGGGUUUCACCAGAAGUAGGUAGCCUAACCGCAAGGAGGGCGCUUACCACGGUGGGAUUCAUGACUGGGGUGAAGUCGUAACAAGGUAGCCGUAGGGGAACCUGCGGCU
rnacentral:rRNA from 1 species